AGUGAACGCUGGCGGCAGGCCUAACACAUGCAAGUCGAGCGGCAGCGGGCUGUAGCAAUACAGUGCCGGCGAGCGGCGGACGGGUGAGGAAUACAUCGGAAUCUACCUUGUCGUGGGGGAUAACGUAGGGAAACUUACGCUAAUACCGCAUACGAACUACGGUUGAAAGCGGAGGACCGCAAGGCUUCGCGCGAUUGGAUGAGCCGAUGUCGGAUUAGCUAGUUGGCGGGGUAAUGGCCCACCAAGGCGACGAUCCGUAGCUGGUCUGAGAGGAUGAUCAGCCACACUGGAACUGAGACACGGUCCAGACUCCUACGGGAGGCAGCAGUGGGGAAUAUUGGACAAUGGGCGCAAGCCUGAUCCAGCCAUGCCGCGUGUGUG
rnacentral:rRNA from 1 species